AAACGGUUAGCUGAGAGGUAAAGCACUACAUAAAACCAUGUAGAGAUCACGGGUUCGAAUCCUGUACUGUUUC
rnacentral:tRNA from 1 species